AAGUCGUAACAAGGUUUCCGUAGGUGAACCUGCGGAAGGAUCAUCAUUGAAUCUAUUCUAAUUAACCUUUGUGAACUGUAUGUGUUAGAGCUUGUUGGUGGGAAGAGGGUGGCUUGCGCCGCCGUCGCGUCUCGGCUCGUCCGAGUGCCUGCCAGCCUGCUCGCAUUUUAACAAACUUUUAAAACAAUUACUGAUAAAAUUUAUUUAAUAAAAACAACUUUCAACAAUGGAUCUCUUGGUUCUC
rnacentral:misc_RNA from 1 species